CGUCUAUAUACGUAUAGCAUAUCAAUAAGCGGAGGAAAAGAAACUAACAAGGAUUCCCUUAGUAACGGCGAGUGAAGCGGGAAGAGCUCAAAUUUGAAAUCUUCAAGGUUCUACCUUGACGAAUUGUAGUUUAUAGAAGUGUUUUUCUGUUAGUAGAGUGGCAAAAGUUCUUUGGAAUAGGACAUCAUAGAGGGUGAGAAUCCCGUAUUUGGUCAUUCUUUCUAGCUUUGUGAUACACUUUCAACGAGUCGGAUUGUUUGGGAAUGCAGUCCAAAAUGGGUGGUAAAUUUCAUCUAAAGCUAAAUAUUGGCGAGAGACCGAUAGCGAACAAGUACCGUGAGGGAAAGAUGAGAAGAACUUUGAAAAGAGAGUUAAACAGUACGUGAAAUUGUCAAAAGGGAAGCGUUUGACACCAGUGUUGUUUUCUCGAAAAUCAAUUACGAAAUGGUUUGAUUUUUAGAGUUGUAUGACUUUCAUCGGCUUUCUGCACUUUCUUUCAUGUACUUUUCUUAAUGCACUUUUCGUUUAACAAGUCAACAUCAAUUUCUUUUGUUGUAAAAGGGUAUUAGGAAGGUGGCUUUCUCUUUCGGAGAAAGUGUUUAUAGCCUUGUGACCUUCUGCAAUCGGAGAGAUUGAGGUCUGCAGCGUAGAUCCUUCGGGGUUAGAUGCAUUUUGUGCUAAGUUAUAGCCUUUUCAUAGACAACUUGUUGACUAUGAUUUAGUCAUUGUAGACUUACUCGCUUACGUCUAUUUUACCUACGCUUAGGAUGUUGAUAGUCACAGCGUGUAC
rnacentral:rRNA from 1 species